rnacentral:tRNA from 1 species
UUCCAUAUGGUCUAGUGGUUAGGAUUUGGCGCUUUCACCGCCAAUGCCCGGGUUCAAUUCCCGGUGUUGGAA